UAGGGAAUCUUCCGCAAUGGACGAAAGUCUGACGGAGCAACGCCGCGUGAGUGAAGAAGGAUUUCGGUUCGUAAAACUCUGUUGUUAGGGAAGAAAAAAUGUAUAGUAACUAUAUACAAAAGAGACGGUACCUAACCAGAAAGCCACGGCUAACUACGUGCCAGCAGCCGCGGUAAUACGUAGGUGGCAAGCGUUGUCCGGAUUCAUUGGGCGUAAAGCGCUCGUAGGCGGUCUGUUAGGUCGGCAAGUUAAAUCCGGGGGCUCAACCCCCGACCGGUUCCGAUACCGGCAGACUUUAGUUUGGUAAGGGAAGGUGGAAUUCCUAGAGUAGCGGUGGAAUGCGCGGGUAUUAGGAAGAAAACCCGUGGCGAAGGCGACCUUCUUGGCCAUAACUGACGCUGCGGAGCGAAAGCUAGGGGAGCGAACAGG
rnacentral:rRNA from 1 species